GUAAUAUAAGAUACGAUCUCUUAGCUUUUAACUAAAAACACUAAGAAACGUCUCUUAAAUAAGAGAUAUAAGAGAUGUCUCUUAGCUUUUUUAGUUAAAAGCUAAGAACCGUAUUUUAUAUUAC
rfam:Brassica rapa chromosome A2, whole genome shotgun sequence.